UAGUUGGCUGAGAUGGACUUUC
rnacentral:piRNA from 1 species